rnacentral:rRNA from 1 species
UACGUAGGGGGGCAAGCGUUGUCCGGAAUUAUUGGGCGUAAAGAGCUCGUAGGCGGUCUGUCGCGUCUGCUGUGAAAUCCCGAGGCUCAACCUCGGGCUUGCAGUGGGUACGGGCAGGCUAGAGUGCGGGUAGGGGAGAAUGGAACUCCUGGUGUAGCGGUGGAAUGCGCAGAUAUCAGGAAGAACACCGAUGGCGAAGGCAGUUCUCUGGGCCGUAACUGACGCUGAGGAGCGAAAAGCGUGGGGAGCGAACAGG